AUUGAACGCUGGCGGCAGGCCUAACACAUGCAAGUCGAACGAGUGGCGGACGGGAGAAUAAUGUCUGGGACACUGCCUGAUGGAGGGGGAUAACUACUGGAAACGGUAGCUAAUACCGCCUACCAUCGGUUGUGGCCAGAUGGGAUUAGCUAGUGGGUGGGGUAAAGGCUCACCAAGGCGACGAUCCCUAGCUGGUCUGAGAGGAUGACCGGCAAAACUGGAACGGAGACACGGUCCGGACUCCUACGGGAGGCAGCAGUGGGGAAUAUUGGACAAUGGGCGAAAGCCUGACGCAGCCAUGCCGCUGAGAUGAAGAAGGCCUUCGGGUUGUAAAGUACUUUCAGCGGGGAGGCGUUACCCACAGAAGAAGCACCGGCUAACUCCGUGCCAGCAGCCGCGGUAAUAC
rnacentral:rRNA from 1 species